AACGGCCGUACCAUGCUGAAUAUACCGGUUUUCGUUAGAUCACCGAAGUUAACUAUCAUUGGGCGCGGUCAGUACUUGGGUGGGUGACCACCUGGGAACACUGCGUGCCGUU
rnacentral:rRNA from 1 species